rnacentral:rRNA from 1 species
AUCGAACGCUGGCGGCAGGCCUAAUACAUGCAAGUCGAGCGGAGCGGCGGACGGGUGAGUAAUGCCUAGGAAUCUGCCCGGUAGUGGGGGAUAACGUCCGGAAACGGGCGCUAAUACCGCAUACUAUCAGAUGAGCUUAGGGCGGAUGAGCUAGGUGGUGGGGUAAAGGCCUACCAAGGGGACGAUGCGUAACGGGUCUGAGAGGAUGAUCGGUCACACUGGAACUGAGACACGGUCCAGACUCCUACGGGAGGCAGCAGUAGGGAAUCUUGGGCAAUGGGCGAAAGCCUGAUCCAGCCAUGCCGCGUGUGUGAAGAAGGUCUUCGGAUUGUAAAGCACUGUAAGUAGGGAGGCGGUACCAACAGAAUAAGCACCGGCUAACUUCGUGCCAGCAGCCGCGGUAAUAC